rnacentral:lncRNA from 1 species
GAGCAGCAUAAGCCAGGCUCUAUGGAAUGUUGGGUGAGCUGCUUGAGGAACUCCAAGGCCUGUCCCACAGUCUUCCAGCCUCCGACUCUCCGGCCCUCAGCGAGGUCAGCAGUGAGCUACUUUUGGAUCUGUUGGGAUCCCUGAGCCCGUGGUCCAGGGAGACUCUGAACAGGGAGAUCUUUUGUCAUGACAUGGUUGUCUCUUGUUGUGCAAGCAAGAGUCAGGGGACAAAUGACAUUGGCUUUAGCCCCCUGCCAGCAGUACCAGGGCCUCCAGGACGGGAGGGAAGGACCAGGCUGAGGCUGGCAUAUGGGAGAGAGCGUGUGUGCGCUGGCGUUUCACCUGCUAGGGCUGCCUUCUGCUGGGCUGUCCAUCUGGCACCGAAGUCCCACUGGUUUUUUUGGUUGGUUUUUUUUUUUUUUUUUAAGGUUUUUUGGUUUUUUUUUUUUUUUCUCAUUCCUGUCUUGGGAGCUUUCCCCAACCAGAGAGAGUGAUCUUUCAGCAGACUGAUCGAACACACAGGCUUCUCAGCCCACUCCCUCCAGUCAAGGUUAAGGCCUGGCAAAGGUGGAGGAAGAGAAGCUGAGGAGAAAAAGGCGAGGAGAGCCUAGGCACAGGAAGGUGACCGUGAGUAGAGUUGGGUGGUCCAGGGAUGUGGCUGGGAUCCCCUCUUCCUUCUGGAGUUCUCUUAGACAGUAAGGCUGAAGAGAAGCUUGGUACAGGAACUUCGAAGGUUUCUCAAGCGCUUCCCUCCCUCCCAGUGCUGAUUUCCUGUGGACCAGAUUCCAGCACAGUGGAGGGCCAGAGCUCAGGGAACAGACCCAGCAGCACAGCAAGUCUCCAAGGAAAGCUCUAGCAGUCUCCAGGGGCUGAAGGCAGGACCAAAAAGAAGACCUGACGUCAUCCUGAGCACCCCCGCCAUGCAGAGUGUGUUCGCAGACUGCCAACGGGCUGGCUCCGGCCAGCAGAAGUGAACAGAGGUGGAGGUUCAGCCUGACAGCUUCUCCCCAAAGCCAUGGAGAGAAAACCUUACCACCCCCACCGCCCAGCUACUUCCAGCAAGUUGUCCAGCCUGACCCCUCUAUUUCCCCUGUUGUCUCUUAUCUGGGUCCCUGAGACCCACCCCAUCUCCAAUAAAGAACAUUGCAUACUGUGCAUCAGUGUUGCCUUGGGUGUGCCAGGCAGGGUCGGGGGCGUGCUGGGUUCUCCAUACUAGAACACCACUACUGA